rnacentral:rRNA from 1 species
ACGACUACAUAUCAGGCAUAUCAAUAAGCGGAGGAAAAGAAACUAACUAGGACUCCCUCAGUAACGGCGAGUGAAGCGGGAAGAGCUCAAAUUUGAAAUCUUCAAGGUUCUACCUUGACGAAUUGUAGUUUAAAGAAGUGUUUUCUGUUGGAGUUUUGGUAAGAGUUCUUUGGAAUAGGACAUCAUAGAGGGUGAGAAUCCCGUAUUUGACCAUUAUUUUCAGCUGUGUGAUACACUUUCAAAGAGUCGGAUUGUUUGGGAAUGCAGUCCAAAAUGGGUGGUAAAUUUCAUCUAAAGCUAAAUAUUGGCGAGAGACCGAUAGCGAACAAGUACCGUGAGGGAAAGAUGAAAAGAACUUUGAAAAGAGAGUUAAACAGUACGUGAAAUUGUCAAAAGGGAAGCGUUUGACACCAGUGUUGUUUUCUCGAAAAUCAAUUGAAAAGAGUUGGAUUUUGUGUUGUAUUGACCUUAACAGCUUGCUUCACUCUUUUCCAGCUUUUUUUAAUGCACUUUUCGUUUAACAAGUCAACAUCAAUUUCUUUUGUUGUAAAAGGGUCAUUGGAAGGUGGCUUUCUUUUCGGAGAAAGUGUUUAUAGCCUUUGGCCUCUGCAAUCGGAGAGAUUGAGGUCUGCAGCGUAGAUCCUUCGGGGUUAGAUACAUUUGUGCUAAGUUAUAGCCUUUCAUAGACAACUUGUUGACUAUGAUCAGUCAUGUAGCUUACUCGCUUAUGCUAUUUUACCUACGCUUAGGAUGUUGAGCGCAUGUCUCUCUCU